CAAGGUGAGAGAUACGGAGGUAGAGCACUGAAUGUCCUAGGGGGUAUUGCACCUACCGAAGACUAUCAAACUCCGAAUGCCGUCAUCUUAUACUUGGGAGUCAGACUGUGGGUGAUAAGAUUCAUAGUCGAAAGGGCAACAGCCCAGAUCGUCAGCUAAGGUCCCUAAAUGUAAGUUAAGUGGUAAAGGAUGUGGGAUUGCACAGACAACCAGGAUGUUGGCUUAGAAGCAGCCACUCAUUCAAAGAGUGCGUAAUAGCUCACUGGUCGAGUGAUCCUGCGCCGAAGAUUUCCGGGGCUAAAACUUACUACCGAAGCUACGGCAUCAGUAAUGAUGGGUAGGGGAGCUUCCCAUACGGGUUGAAGCAUGACCGUAAGGACAUGUGGACAGUAUGGGAGUGAGAAUGUUGGCAUGAGUAGCGAGAUGUGGGUGAGAAUCCCACAGGCCGUAAACCCAAGGUUUCCAGGGGAAGGUUCGUCCGCCCUGGGUUAGUCGGGACCUAAGCUGAGGCCGAAAGGCGUAGGUGAUGGACAACAGGUUGAUAUUCCUGUACUACCGAUAACCGUUUGAGAGAAGGGAUGACACAGUAGGAUAAGCUAAGCACACUGUUGGUUAUGUGUGCCCAAGCAUUGAGGCAGUCAAAGUAGGCAAAUCCGCUUUGAUAAUGCUGGGAUGUGAUGGGGAGCGAAAUUUAGUAGCGAAGUAGCUGAUUUCACACUGUCAAGAAAAGUCUCUAUCGAGGUUAAAGGUACCCGUACCGCAAACCGACACAGGUGGGUGAGGAGAGUAUCCUAAGGCCAGCGAGAGAACUGUUGUUAAGGAACUCGGCAAAAUGACCCCGUAACUUAGGGAUAAGGGGUGCCACCAUCAGGUGGCCGCAGAGAAUAGGCCCAAGCGACUGUUUACCAAAAACAUAGGUUUCUGCUAAGUCGCAAGACGAUGUAUAGGAGCUGACGCCUGCCCGGUGCUGGAAGGUUAAGGGGAUCUGUUAGAG
rnacentral:rRNA from 1 species